UUCGCCCUUAGAGUUUGAUCCUGGCUCAGGACGAACGCUGGCGGCGCGCCUAACACAUGCAAGUCGAACGAGCGAGAGAGAGCUUGCUUUCUCGAGCGAGUGGCGAACGGGUGAGUAACGCGUGAGGAACCUGCCUCAAAGAGGGGGACAACAGUUGGAAACGACUGCUAAUACCGCAUAAGCCCACAGCUCGGCAUCGAGCAGAGGGAAAAGGAGCAAUCCGCUUUGAGAUGGCCUCGCGUCCGAUUAGCUAGUUGGUGAGGUAACGGCCCACCAAGGCGACGAUCGGUAGCCGGACUGAGAGGUUGAACGGCCACAUUGGGACUGAGACACGGCCCAGACUCCUACGGGAGGCAGCAGUGGGGAAUAUUGCACAAUGGGGGAAACCCUGAUGCAGCGACGCCGCGUGGAGGAAGAAGGUCUUCGGAUUGUAAACUCCUGUUGUUGAGGAAGAUAAUGACGGUACUCAACAAGGAAGUGACGGCUAACUACGUGCCAGCAGCCGCGGUAAAACGUAGGUCACAAGCGUUGUCCGGAAUUACUGGGUGUAAAGGGAGCGCAGGCGGGAAGGCAAGUUGGAAGUGAAAUCCAUGGGCUCAACCCAUGAACCGCUUUCAAAACUGUUUUUCUUGAGUAGUGCAGAGGUAGGCGGAAUUCCCGGUGUAGCGGUGGAAUGCGUAGAUAUCGGGAGGAACACCAGUGGCGAAGGCGGCCUACUGGGCACCAACUGACGCUGAGGCUCGAAAGUGUGGGUAGCAAACAGGAUUAGAUACCCUGGUAGUCCACACUGUAAACGAUGAUUACUAGGUGUUGGAGGAUUGACCCCUUCAGUGCCGCAGUUAACACAAUAAGUAAUCCACCUGGGGAGUACGACCGCAAGGUUGAAACUCAAAGGAAUUGACGGGGGCCCGCACAAGCAGUGGAGUAUGUGGUUUAAUUCGACGCAACGCGAAGAACCUUACCAAGUCUUGACAUCCUGCGACGCACAUAGAAAUAUGUGUUUCCUUCGGGACGCAGAGACAGGUGGUGCAUGGUUGUCGUCAGCUCGUGUCGUGAGAUGUUGGGUUAAGUCCCGCAACGAGCGCAACCCUUAUGGUCAGUUACUACGCAAGAGGACUCUGGCCAGACUGCCGUUGACAAAACGGAGGAAGGUGGGGAUGACGUCAAAUCAUCAUGCCCUUUAUGACUUGGGCUACACACGUACUACAAUGGCGUUAAACAAAGAGAAGCAAGACCGCGAGGUGGAGCAAAACUCAGAAACAACGUCCCAGUUCGGACUGCAGGCUGCAACUCGCCUGCACGAAGUCGGAAUUGCUAGUAAUCGCAGAUCAGCAUGCUGCGGUGAAUACGUUCCCGGGCCUUGCACACACCGCCCGUCA
rnacentral:rRNA from 1 species